rnacentral:rRNA from 1 species
GACAGAGGGGGCAAGCGUUGCUCGGAAUCACUGGGCGUAAAGGGCGCGUAGGCGGGAUGGCAAGUCAGUCGUGAAAUCUCUCGGCUCAACCGAGAAACGUCGGCUGAUACUGCCGUUCUUGAGGGAUGCAGAGGAGACUGGAAUUCCCGGUGUAGCGGUGAAAUGUGUAGAGAUCGGGAGGAACGCCGGUGGCGAAAGCGACUCUCUGGCUCGUAUCUGACGCUGAGGCGCGAAAGCCAGGGGAGCGGAACGGG